GGGGGGGGGGGGGGGGGGGCGGGGCGCGUGGGGGUCGGGCGGACAGGCCCUGCGUUGGGGGUGUGGGCGGGUGGGGAAGGGGUGAGUAACACGUGCGUGACCUGCCCUUGACUAUGGGAUACCUUACGGAGCCUGGGUCUGCUACCGGAUAGGAUCUCCUUAUUCCUUGUGGGUGUUGGGCAGUGUAUGCGGUUGUGGAUGGACUCUCGGCUUCUCAUCUUGUUGGGGGGGUAGGGGCUUACCAAGGCUGUGACGGGUAGCCGGCCUGAGAGGGUGACCGGCCACAUUGGGACUGAGAUACGGCCCAGACUCCUACGGGAGGCAGCAGUGGGGAAUAUUGCACAAUGGGCGGAAGCCUGAUGCAGCAACGCCGCGUGCGGGAUGACGGCCUUCGGGUUGUAAACCGCUUUCGCCUGUGACGAAGCGUGAGUGACGGUAAUGGGUAAAGAAGCACCGGCUAACUACGUG
rnacentral:rRNA from 1 species